rnacentral:rRNA from 1 species
GAUGGACGCUGGCGGCGUGCCUAAUACAUGCAAGUCGAGCGAACAGACGAUGAGCUUGCUCCUCUGACGUUAGCGGCGGACGGGUGAGUAACACGUGGAUAACCUACCUAUAAGACUGGGAUAACUUCGGGAAACCGGAGCUAAUACCGGAUAAUAUAUUGAACCGCAUUGUUCAAUAGGGAAAGACGGUUUUGCUGUCACUUAUAGAUGGAUCCGCGCCGCAUUAGCUAGUUGGUAAGGUAACGGCUUACCAAGGCAACGAUGCGUAGCCGACCUGAGAGGGUGAUCGGCCACACUGGAACUGAGACACGGUCCAGACUCCUACGGGAGGCAGCAGUAGGGAAUCUUCCGCAAUGGGCGAAAGCCUGACGGAGCAACGCCGCGUGAGUGAUGAAGGCCUUCGGAUCGUAAAACUCUGUUAUUAGGGAAGAACAAAUGUGUAAGUAACUAUGCACGUCUUGACGGUACCUAAUCAGAAAGCCACGGCUAACUACGUG